rnacentral:rRNA from 1 species
UACGUAGGGUGCAAGCGUUAAUCGGAAUUACCGGGCGUAAAGCGUGCGCAGGCGGCUUUGCAAGACAGAUGUGAAAUCCCCGGGCCUUAACCUGGGAACUGCAUUUGUGACUGCAUGGCUGGAGUGCGGCAGAGGGGGAUGGAAUUCCGCGUGUAGCAGUGAAAUGCGUAGAUAUGCGGAGGAACACCGAUGGCGAAGGCAAUCCCCUGGGCCUGCACUGACGCUCAUGCACGAAAGCGUGGGGAGCGAAACAGG